UGAGGAAUAUUGGUCAAUGGGGCGGGGAGCCUGAACCAGCCAAGUCGCGUGAGGGAAGACGGUCCUAUGGAUUGUAAACCUCUUUUGUCGGGGAGCAAGAAAGGGUAUGCAUACCCUACUGAGAGUACCCGAAGAAAAAGCAUCGGCUAACUCCGUGCC
rnacentral:rRNA from 1 species